UACGUAGGGGGCGAGCGUUGUCCGGAUUUAUUGGGCGUAAAGAGCUCGUAGGCGGCUUGGCAAGUCGGGUGUGAAACCUCCAGGCUUAACCUGGAGACGCCACUCGAUACUGCCAUGGCUAGAGUCCGGUAGGGGACCACGGAAUUCCUGGUGUAGCGGUGAAAUGCGCAGAUAUCAGGAGGAACACCGAUGGCGAAGGCGGUGGUCUGGGCCGGCACUGACGCUGAGGAGCGAAAGCGUGGGUAGCAAACAGG
rnacentral:rRNA from 1 species